GUUUCUAGCAGAAUUCUGAUUCUGAAAAAAAAGAAAGUUGUAAGACUUUGUGUGUAUGUAAACCUGGUGUGGUUUAGCAGGUAAAAACAACAUUUUGCAUUUAGAGCAAUGCAUGAAACUCACUAAGGGGAUACUACAAGUCGGUUUAACAUCUUGAGAUAACUAGGAGUAGAGGUAGAUUCAUCAUUAUAUAGGUAGAUAACUAGGAGUAGAGUUAGAUUCAACAGUAUAUGGGUAUAUAACUAGGAGUAGAGGUAGAUUCAUCAGUAUAUGGGUAUAUAACUAGGAGUAGAGGUAGAUUCAUCAGUAUAUUGGUUGAGUAGAUAACUAGGAGUAGAGGUAGAUUCAUCAUUAUAUAGGUAGAUAACUAGUAAGUAGAGUAGUAGAUAAACAGGAGUAGAGUUAGAUUCAUCAGAAUAUUGGUAGAAAAACUAGGAGUAGAGGUAGAUUCAUCAGUAUUAUGGGAGACAACUAGGAGUAGAGUUAGAUUCAUCAGUAUAUAGGGAGAUAACUACGAGUAGAGUUAGGACAUUCAGUAAACAGGUAGCUGGCUACAAGGAGAGUUAGAUCAAUCAGUCAGAAUACAGGUAGAUGGGUAGGAUUAGAGUUAGAUGUUGGUAGAUUGAGUAAAAAGUCAGGAAUGUCUAAUUUCAGAGUGAGACAGAUAAAUGGGAAAAUUCACACACAUUUCUAGCUAACAACAUAGCAGCUAUUCACAAUAUUAUUUACAAAAUAAUAAUGAAAUCCUACCUUCGGCUUUAUAGUAUUCAAAGCUGCUUUGUAAUGAGCAUCGUUCUUUUCUAUUGUCCCACCAAGCCAGCUUUUCACGUUUUGUACCUCCUGCUGUACUUGGAAACCUCUGCCUUCAAGUUUAACUGCCCAUUGGUCAAUUAGCUUCUUACUGCUGUCUUGGUACAUAGCUUUGUAAUUCUUCAUCGCCUGUGUAUUCACCAGAGUGUUAUUCCGGAGACACAUUAGGUCUGGUGAGGCGGCCAGGACAGACAUCUUUAAAAAGCCCUCCACAUCAUUACUGCUAAUGUAUUGAGCUUGUAGAGUUCUAAAUUCUUUUAAAUUGGUGAGGCAACUCCUGUGUAAUUGAUCAGGCAGUGUGACAGUUAUAAGGUGCUGUCCAUGCUGGUCUUUCAGAUUCUUUAGGGAGUCACUGGUGAACGGUUUAUUGGUUCCUAUCUCUAUCAGUGACUUUGCCAGGUUGCUUUCAGGAUCCAUUUUGUAAGCAAGUAAGAUACUGUCAACUGCUGGCUGGUGGUCAGCAUGGAUAUUUUUACUAACACUGACACCUUUCAGUAGUUUCCGGUUGUUAUUGUAGCUAUCAGCCCGUCCCCAAUAUUCUGGGUUAUUCAUCCCCCCUUUUGCCAUGAACCAGCUGCCUCCCCGUAUCUCCAGUGCCCUCUGUCUGCACUUGAUAAGCGGCACCCACUUGUUCGGCUCCUUCAGGACCAUAUCUGCCCCUUGCUGCCUCAGCUGGGAGGCCCUGGAGUGGAUCUGUUCAUCAGAGGCAUCAGGGUCCAAGCCACGAGCGAACGCCUGGAACAUGCAAUUGUUCCCCUCGCCAGAGACCGGCACAACCUGGUCAUUGUGCAGAGCGUCGUAGUGACCCUGGGGAUAACGCUCACUAAUGGGAUGGUACAGUAGGUUCACACUGCCCUGAUUGGAGCUCUGGCUGGGAUGAACCACAGACAUUUUCAUUUUCUGUCCUUGCCUGUUUGUGAUGUAAAUAACAACAGUCUUCCCGCUUUCUUCAGCUAGUAACUUGGCCUCCAGGAUGGUGGCUGGAUUGUUAUCAUGAGGGAAUGUGCUUCGCGGCCUCAUUUCCUCUGCGUAUGAUUCUGCCCAAAGUUGAUCUUCCACUUUUGAAAGUUUAUUGGAUUUCCUUCUUAGUGGGGCAUUGGCUACGUAGCUGCUGUUCAGGCCUACUACCAGCUUCUCUUUUGUCCUAUCAGUCAUCAGACGUUUGGAAAUGAACCCACCAAUGUAGCCAUUUAUUUGUUCUUGAGCGAGCCCAACCAAGUGGCUGGAGAAUUUCUGGUGAAAAACCUGGAAUACUGUUUCAGCCAGACAAGAAGCCAUCACUUCGGCCACCUCUGUUUUAAAUGCAUUUAAUUUCACCAUGUCAUUGCCACAAAUAUUUUUUCUUUUCUCUUCUAUUUUACUUUCAUCUGUUCCUCUCUUUCCAUAAAGCUCUUUCACUCUUUUCUGCAGCUCCUCCAAGAAUGCACUGUUGAAUUCAUUGGCAACUUCUUUGGCUGAAUAAAUUGCAUCGCCACAGAGACCUACCAUGUGAGCUGCCUGAAUUGCUUUACAAACUGCUCUCAUCUUUCCAUUAUUCUCCUGUGCAACUCUUUUAAUGACACUCUGAAGGGAUGAAUGCAGACGAUUUUGCCAGCCCAGGCCUGCACAGUGAGACCUCAGAACCAUUUCACAGAUAUCUGUAAAAAUCCCUUUUAACUGUGUUCUGUUCUCUCGUUCAUCUAGAAGGUCACUGAGGUAUCCUUGCUCUUCAAUGUGCACAAGCACCAUCCUGUUGACCAAGGGUCCCAUUGGUUGGCAGCCAAUAUUAUGUUUACACUUGUCCAAGACUGUGUUUUUGACAACUUCUUUAAUUUCAUUAGUGAUUUUAUCAAUAAUUUUCUCCUCUACUUUUCCCACUCCAUACAUUACAGUUUGCUGGACAACCUCCUUUCCCACAUAUUUCAAAGUGUUUUUCACAUUUUCUCUCAUGACUGCCUGCAGUCCACCCUUGGCCUGGUUAGAGAUUAGUUUCUGAAGAGAAGUGAGCUUAUUUCCAAAGCCACUAAUGGCAUUUUUGCUGGCUCUCCAGCCCUUGGAGAUCAGUUUUCCCACUCCAAAGCCAAUGAGUGAGACAGCCAGGGACACAGCUUUGCUGAUAGCCCAGGAGGCCCAGCUGAAAGUUCCUGUGAUCAUGGCUUUCACACCAGUGAUGCAGUCUGAAAUCCCUUCACUGAUGAGGUGGUACCCCACUUGUAGCAGCACCCCACCAGUGAAUGCAGUGAGGAGGACCCCCCCCACAAUCUGAGCCACCCCCAGGAAGAAUACAGCUAGGCCUUUCCAGCAGAAUCUGGGCUUCUGCUUCACUGAAAACACCAUCUCCAUACCCAGCUUGUAAAACUCAUACAGCUCUUGGUGAACGUCGUCAUUGGGAUCCUCGACCAGAUUGAAGACAGAGCUUUCAUCAACAAGGGCUUCUCCUUUAUCCUGUUUGAUCAACUCAAGCUUCUCCAUUGCUCUGCUGAUGUUAUUGUGGAAGUAUGUGAGCACUUGUAUCCUGACCUGCAUCUGUUUCUGGAAGGCACUCUUGGUCUUCCCAGAGUCUCUAUCAGACAGGCUCACCAGUUGCUGGGUUAUUGUGCACUGUUCUAAAAACAGUUCCACAGAAACCAAGGCCUUCUCCAAGUCUUUUGAUGCAUUUUCCAUACAGUCUUUUUGUUUUUGCCUCAGAGUGCAGUAAGCACGUUUAUAGAGCGCAAUAGCAGCCCAGCAUCUAUCCAGCUCUAUGGCACUACUGUACAGCUCUGCGCUCUCCUUCAGUUUAUUUUCACCGAGUAAUUUGUUUCCAAACUUGAUGAAAUGGUAGAUGCUAGAACAGGGAGAGAGGUUUUCUUGGGACUGCUGAUGGGCGCGUUUUAUAUCAGUCUCCAGGCUCUUCAUCAGCUGAGAUUUUUCCAACUUUUCAAUCUCAUCUGAUUUUCUCAGCAGCCAAAUCCCCCAGUACUCGUUCAGCACUGCCAAUGUCACCCUGCGCUUGCUGUUGUAGAUGUCUAAGUUGCCUAACGAUGAAUUGGAAAAGGGCUGGUAGAUCCCUUUGAGAAUCUGGCAAUAUUGGGAAAAGAGCUCCUCUCUGAGGGAGAUCUCAGGGAUAUCAUCCUGCAGGACACGGGAUACCUGAUCCAUGGCCAGUGAGUCUCGAGCUGCUCUGGCAUCCUGGAGUGUGGACGCAUUUCUCAGGGGCUCCUGCAGAUGUGCGGAGCAGAUGAUGAGCUGCGCCGAGCCAGGGCUCCCUUUCCUCGCCGUGCGCCCGAAAGCCUGCAUCUCCACUCUGGCAUUUUCAGGCAGGAAGGUGACGACUACAAACAGCCCCCCGGCCCCAUUCACCUCUUUGGAGACCAGCAGGUCUGUUCCACGACCUGCCAAGUUAGUGGCCACGAUCACAUCCCCAGGUCUGAGAAGCUGGCUUGUGAUGCUGGAGUUGUCCUGGUUGCUGUUGGUAUAGAGUCUAAGCUGCUUCCCACUCACCUGCUCUUUGAGAGCCUUGUGGAUGUCCAUUGCUUGGUUGAUAGACUCACAGAUGACCAGUGCUGCCCUUCCAUCUCUGUAGCAGGUUGGGCGAGUCUGCUCCAAGACAGAGGAGCAAAUCCUCUCCCUCCACUUAUCCACAUUGCUCUCCAGCACCCCCUUGACCUCAGACAGCUUUUUCCGGUUGAAGGAUGGAAUCUCACAGGUGGAGAGGCCUGGGUAGAGCUCCUGCAGCAGAUCGAUCUCUGACUGUGUCCCCAAAGUCCCAGUGGUGCCGUACACCUGGCCCCCGUACUGCCUGAAGAAGGCCACGUUGGAGAGGUAGUUGGUAAUGAUGGACAUGCAGCUCAGCUUGGUUUGGUGUUUCAUCUCCAGGAACUGCUGCAGGCCGUUUCCCCACUUCUUGUUGCGCUCAACGAUACCGGUGCAGCUAUAAUCCACCGGGAGAAUUUGUUCCCCAUCUACUAUGUACUCCUGACCCUCCUGCACCUUGACGGCCAGGAAGGCAUUUUGAACCCAAACCCUUAGAUUCUUUUCCACCAGCACUUUUAGGAACCCAGGGACUCGGGUUUUGUGUUUAUCUGCUCCACACUGACAUUUAUCAUUCUUGUCUGGUUUACAUGCGCUAAACUGCAGCCGAUCUUUCACACCCUCCACAAUGGCGUCACAGAGGGUCUCCUCAUCCUCAUACAGAGCACAGCAUAGGCCUUCUUCCAAAACCAAGAAAAAUACCUUGUGAUCAUUUUUUUCUCCCUCACUUUCGCUGUCAUUGUCUGAGUGACGCAGCAGGGUUCCUCGCUGGUCUUGAGUGUAAGUGAUGAACUUAUAAGGGAACUCAUCCUCAGCCAAGCGGAAAAACUGCAGCAUUGUGUCCUGGGACACUGUCUUUAAUUUCUCUGUUAGUUUCUCUGUAGAGUCACAGUCCUUGCAGAAGCCAUUGGGUAUCAACCCACUGUUCUCUGCCAGCUGUAAGACUGUGAGCGGCUCCACACCAUCUUCAGUCUCCACAGAGUCAAACAGGGCUUUGUGAAAAGGCAGGACGGGGCCUCGGAUCAUGGUUCCCGUGCCUGUUGGCACCAGACCGUACUGGCUGACGAUACCCCAGAUCAUGGCCAGGACAAUAUUUAGGUGCUGCAUAGGAGCAACAUCAGUAGAGAGAUAGGUCAUCUGUACUCCCUUGUCUAACAGGAGAGAGUCCACCUCAUCCACAAUGACGCACUGAAAUCCACGGUCAGGCCUCACCUCCUUCAUCUCAAAGCUCUGGCGCAAGCAGUCUGCGGCAAAGUUCUCGGCCGUGCCAUAGACUACAUCACAACUGUAGCACCUCCUACGAUCCUCGUCUUUGUCUUUAUCCGUGUUGCAGUCGACAGAGACAUCAAAUAGGCUGUAGAAUGGACGCCAAUCAUCAGCAUCUCUCUUGGACAAAAUGGGAGAGCUGGAGAGCACAUCCACUCUCUCCCCUCGCAGAGCCCUGAAGGCUGUGAACAUGGCUACGACACAGGACUUCCCCUCACCUGUUCCAAGCUGCAGCAGCCUCCCUGAGACAGAGAGAGCCAGCAGACACCAGCUGACUAUCUGAGUUGUUCUGGGCCACCAGCCCUGUGUCUCAUACACAGCUUUGCAGAGAGCAAACAGGACUGCAGCCAGCUCCUCUCUCUUCAAAGUACAGUUUUUCAGGGAGCCUUUGGAAAAUUUUGGGACAGUCCUAAUCUUGCAAGUCUGCCAAGACGCUACAAUGCCCCUCACCUCUUGGAGUGUGGUCUCUGUGAUGCUUCUAUUUGAUUCACACAUUUCUUGGAGAAUGUCUUCCAGGCUCUUCUCACCCUCUGUGCUCAAGGAGUCUCUGAGCCGAGAAAUUAGGUGAGUGGUGGAGGCUUCAGAGUCUAGCAGCUGAGUCAGUGAGCAUCCAUCUCUGUCCCUGAAGCUGGGACAGACACAGUGGAUUUCCAGGGAAUGAAGCACUGUCAGGACCGAGGUGAAAAGGUUUUCCCCUUUUCUGAACUUUUUCACCAAGAAAAUGAAUAGGUCCAAAGCAUCUGCCGGAGCCCAUCGUCCACUCCUUACCAGGUCUGAUAGUUUGGAUAGAGAUUCUAUGCAGAGUUCCUCACUGCAGUUCUGUACUGCUGUGGCAGUCACCAGCUCAUAGCACUGUUCCUUUGUCUGAGUGUCACAAGUAGACCUGAGGAAAGUUUCCAGGAACCUCAACAUGUACUGCUGAUACGGACAAAUGGCCUGCUUUGAGAAUUGCUGGAAAAUUGACGCCAGGUCCUCUCCAAAUGGUAGCUGGAUGUCUUUGGUGAGGGUUGAGAGUGUGUGGAGGAAUGUGUGCAUUAACUUGAAGCACUGAUCUGCAUUGUUUUUUGAGGUUGGCAUUAGAGAGUGCAGGAGAUCAGUCAGAUUAUGUGCAAGCUCUGAGCUUUGGGACAGCCUGGGGAAACAUAAGUCUCUGUUUGACAGAGGUUGUCCAAGAAUGAGGCAGUCAGGCAGUGGUGCCAAGCCUCUCCCUCUUGGACCAGAUCCAUGUUGGAGGAAGUCAUGUAUAAAACUCUCAAGGCUGCCACAGACAAUAUCAGACUCACAGUGCUGGGUUAAUGGGACAGUAGUGCUUGUUUGCACGUUAAUUCCAAGCAUCUGGUAGAAUGAAGACCAGUCCUGUGGCCUAUAGGAGGGAGAGCCCAGAACUAUACCCACCUGUCUGCCCUGAAAGACCAUCAGGGCUGCAUGCAUUACUGCCACACAGGGGUCUCUUUCCAGUGUGAGGAACUCAUCGUCGCUGUUAUUAAUGGCCAGGUUACACCAUCUGACCAUUUGAGCUACUGUGGGCCCCCUGCCCUGUGUGUGGAGCACUGCUCUGCUCAGGAUGGAAAGUAGUAUCUUCAGCUCUGUUUGCCCAAAUUUGGAGCCUCUCAAAGAGCCCCUGUAAAGGCUUUUGUGAAAUAUAACUGCAUUGUCUUUAUUCAUAUCUUUGUGCACGGUAUUGAUAACACUCCACAGUCGUUCUGGCACCUGGGUAAGGAGGACCUCCAGGCUGUGUGUGCUUUCCUUCUGCAGCUCCUUGUCUAAACCAGAGUAAAAUGUGUUGAAAUCACAUGUUGACUCCAGUAGGGUGUUUAAUGAGUGGCCCUGCUUGUCUCUCCAGGAUGAGGGCAGAUUGUGCCGUUCCACCAGGUCUAGGACACAGAGCGCACCACUGGGGCUCACCCUGCUCCGUGCUAAACUCCCUAUUAAGUCCAGUGCCUCCAGGGAUGUCCAGUUAACAUCCAACAGUGCCAGUACUGCUGGAGACAGAGCAGCAAAGGAAUCGGUUUCUGUAAGUGGCCACUGCCCUAUAGCAUCUAGUAUCAGCUCUAGACACUUCUCCUGGGCACCCAAAACUGGGCCUGUUUCCUUCUCCAGGGCUCUGAGGAGGAGCUCCAGGAACCUGACGAGGAAGAGCUGCUCCAAGGAGAUGUCUUCCUGACUCCAUUCAUUAGCUGCAGAGAAGACGCUCUGCUGGGAAUCAGGCCUGUCCUCAAAGAGAUUAGUGAAAGUCAAGAACAGGGCCUGUGUGAAGUUGAGAUAUUGCCACGCCUCUUCCUCAACUACUGCCACCGUCACUGCAUAUCCCACUGUCUGUACUGCCAGCUGCAGCUGGUCAGCAGCACACUCCAGAGAGGCAUUGCUGUGAGCAUCCAGCGCCAUCACACAAAGCUCUGCGAGCAGGACCUGAGUGUGAGUCAGAGUGUCCAUCUGGGGUGGCUGCUCCUCCCAUUCCUGGAACAGGAGCUCCCGGAGAGAGCAAGAAAGGGACAGGACCUGCUGGGGAUGGAGUCUUCGGAGAUCUAUGUCUCCCUCAGGGAUUCCACACUUUUGAGACAGGAUGCUGAGUAAUCCUCUGUCUGGCUGUCUGCUCUCUGGAGAGCUGCACUGUGACUGGAAUGUCUCUCUGACCACUGUGGUUUCACGCCUCUCCUCCUCUGCUCUCCUCUCCUUUCUCCUCUUUUCCUGCAGCUCAGACUGAGUCUUUUCCAGACUAAACCCCACUUCCCUUAUUCUCCUUUCCUCCUCCUGCUUCUCUCUUUUCUCCUCCUCCAUCUGUCUCUGUCUCUUCUCCUCCAUUAAUCUUUUCUCCUCCUUCUUUCUCCUUCUCCUCAUCUCCUCUUCUUUCCUUUUCCUCUCUUCUUCCCUCAGUCUUCUCUCCUCCUCCUUUCUCCUUCUCUCCUCCUCUAGUCUUGAGUUCCACACUUCCCACCGUCUUCUCGCUUCCUCCUGUCUCCUCCUCUCCUCUUCUUUCCUUUUCCUCUCUUCUUCCCUCAGUCUCCUCUCAUCCUCCAGUCUCCUCCUCUCCUCCUUUUGUCUCCUGUUCCACUCCUCCAACUGCCUUCUCUCCUCUGCAAUUCUCCUCCUCUCCUCCUCUUGUCUCCUGUUCCACACCUCCCACUGCCUUCUCUCCUCUUCCUGUCUCCUGCUCUCCUCCUCUUGUCUCCUGCUCUGCUCCUCCCUCAGUCUUCUCUCCUCCUCUUGUUUCCUCUUCCUCUCAUCCUCCUCUCUCUGUUUCCUCUCUUGUCUCCUUUUCCUUUCCUCCUCCUCCCUCAGUCUUCUCUCCUCCUCCUCUCUCCGUCUCCUCUCUUGUCUCCUUUUCCUCUCCUCCUCCUCCCUCAUUUGCUCUUCUUCUGCAUCCUGCUUUCUCCUGUAACACUGCCUGCAUACGUUUAAUUCCAUAUCUUUAAGCCUAGCUACCAGGUUCCAAUGAAAAGCCAAACCAAAAACAAGUUUGAUAAGAAAAGCCAGAAAGUCCAUCUCUAUUAUUCCCCCACACUCUCUGCACAGUACAGCUCCCAUACUGGCUUGGGUCCUCUGUGACUGAAGAGAUGAUCGGAAACCUGGAAGACAAAAAAAACUGUUUAUUAACAUAUACAGUGGCUCUCAAACAUAUUCGCCCCCCUUGAAAUGUUCUACGUUUUAUUGUGUUACAACAUGCAAUU
ensembl:lncRNA